AGUAGGGUGCCAUCAAGAGGUGUAUUUUGAAAUAU
rnacentral:rRNA from 1 species